GCUCUGUACCAUGUUUUCUUCCUUCCUUCCAGCAAUGCCAGCUGAGUUCUUGGGUUCAGUCAGUGAACAGGCCUGUGCACAUACCCUGUGUGAAAACAAAUCUAUAUCUGGUAAUUAUGUUUAUGCUAAUUUGACAAAUACUGGAUUUUUAAACAUAAACUCUUGACCAGCAAAGGGUUUUGACCAGCAAAGGGUUUUGAAGAUGUAAGGAAGAUUCAACAAAUAGUUACAGAGCUUUAACUAGAUGCACACCUUUGUUUGGGUCCUGGAGAUACAGCUUUGCAGCGAGGCACUUGCAUAAAGAAGUGGACUCAUGAGCAAAGAAAGGGAGAAUGGAUCAACCUGUUUUCCUUGCAGGAUGCACUUGUUAUCCUUGAUGCUUUCACCCUGAGGACAUCCAACUAAACAAAACUGCAUACAUCUUUAUGGAUUACCCUUUCUGCAUCCUUCCCAUGGAGCCCUCAAACAAAACCUGAACUCAACAUUAUUCACCCAAAUUCAACCUUUUCUCCAUUUCCCAUCUCAGCACAAAACCACCAUUCAACCAGCUGUGUUACCCAACCACCACAGCCAACCACCAACCUUGUCAAUAUCUCUUGAAUUCAUCCGGGUCACUCUACCUCUGCUCUCAUGGCCAGAGCCAUAUAUGAUUUCAGUGGGCCUUAGGCACUUUUGCCUUCAUGGCAAAAUAUUUGAAAUUAUGAUUUAUGACUUUGUUGGUAUAAAGACAAAUGUAAUCCU